UUUAUACAAAUUACAAUAUAAGAGCAAUUAUACAUUUAUAUACAUUAUUAUUAUUCAAUAUAGCUUAUUGUAACUGUGUCACUUUCAUUAUCUCAGGACAAGCAUCUUCAGUUUUACGUUUUUGAAUAAUCACCUUGAACCACUCCACACAUGUCACUGGUCAGACGAUAACACCAAAAAACCCCAGAAAGAUUUAGUACAAUAAUGACAAUGCAUUUUGAGCAACAUCCAAUCACUAGACAAAACUAGAACAAAUUGAAUUGAAACAUCACAAACACCACAGUGUUGUCAUACAUUACAUCCAUUCUAUAACCCAAAAAGGGACAAAAGUUUAAAUUAGUCAAAAACAAGAAAGAAUGCAUACAACAACAUCCAUAUAAUAGUCACAUUCUAAAAUCUAUUAACAAGUAAUAAUAUAUUAAUAGUAAUAAGUAUUGCAGGGGACCACUAGAGUUAAUCAGUACAUAUGUAAGUCCACAAACACUGAUUGGCUUACCCUGACAUUCUCACCCUAACCCUAACCAACCUCCUCAUCGUGGCUCAUUUUGUAUGACUGUAUGACUGUUAGGGCUGUAUGUGUUUUCUGCAAUAAUAUUAGGAAAUGUGGUGUUAUGCUGAACACAGAUUAUAUGGAAAUGGUCGAGACAUAUUACCUUCAAAAGAGUUUGAGAGCAUUUUUGUAUUUUGUUAUUGUUCAUUUUGAGCAACUUAAACAUAGAAGCAGAAAACAUUGUGUAACCAUUGUCAACCUAGCAACAUUUUUAUUUGAAGAAAAUCUUUAUUAAAUGUGUACCACCAGAUUGAGUCUGCUUGACAUCAUUCUGUGCACUACUGUACUUGUCAGUCAUAAACAUGGGAAGCUUUGUCCACUCUACCAUCCAUCCCAUAUGACAUGAGUAUUUUCAUGCAGAAUAUAUCAGGUUUCUCAGUGACUAUGUGUGCAUUUAUUUUGUUAUUCUGCUGCUGUGUUUUGUUUCAGAUGUUAUCUGACAAUUUUCAGCAUUGCAGUUUUCAGCUCAAGCAUCUCUGCAACAUCAAAGGAUCGACUUGGGCCUUCAGAAACCACAGCUAGGGGCCUGUACUAAAAGAUACAGGUAUGCAUCACCUCUAUCACCACCCUGAACACCAGCGUCCCACAGGACUGUGUGCUGAGCCCCCUCCUCUACUCCCUCUUCACCCACGACUGCACACCUGUACAUGGUUCCAUCAUCAAGUUUGCGGACACCCAACGGUGAUUGGGAUCAUCUGUGACAAUGAUGAGUCAGAUUACAGGGAGGAGGUCCAGCACCUGGCGACCUGGUGAGCCAACAACAACCUGGCCAUCAACACCAAGAAGACCAAAGAGAUCAUUGUGGACUUCAAAAACACAAACAAAUGGUUUGCCCUCCUGCCCUGGAGGUGCUACAGGUCUCUCCGUUCCUGAACUAGCAGGCUCAGGAACAGCUUUUUCCCAUUAGCUGUCAGCCUGCUAAACUCUGCAUCGAGGAGACCCCCCCUUCCCCCUGAACUCCCACUGAACUGUCUUUCUUUCUGUGUUUUUCAUAUUUACCCAUAGUGUAUAAAUAACCACCUAUAGUAUAAUCACAUCUAGCUGUCUGUAUAUAUAUACACUUAUAUUUAAUUACUUGUACUUACAUCCGCACUAUAUAUUCCACUGCUAAUCUGUUCAUACUGUAAAUAUCAAAACUUAAUAGCUGUAUAUAUCUUAGUGUAUUCACCUCACUCGGUUCAUUCUGUUAAUACUGUUCAUACUGUAAAUACCCUGCUAGUAAUUUCAUAUAUAUAUCUAUAAAGUUAUUUUUACAUAUUUUUAUAUACAUGCACAUUACUCUGCACUUUUCUGCUUUGCACUUCUGGUUAGAUGCUUAACUGCAUUUUGUUGCCUAGUACCUGUGCCCGUGCAAUGACAAUAAAGUGGAAUCUAAUCUAA